GAUGAACGCUGGCGGCGUGCUUAACACAUGCAAGUCGAACGAAGCACCUUGAUUUGAUUCUUCGGAUGAAGAUCUUGGUGCCUGAGUGGCGGACGGGUGAGUAACGCGUGGGUAACCUGCCUCAUACAGGGGGAUAACAGUUAGAAAUGACUGCUAAUACCGCAUAAGACCACAGCACCGCAUGGUGCAGGGGUAAAAACUCCGGUGGUAUGAGAUGGACCCGCGUCUGAUUAGGUAGUUGGUGGGGUAACGGCCUACCAAGCCGACGAUCAGUAGCCGACCUGAGAGGGUGACCGGCCACAUUGGGACUGAGACACGGCCCAAACUCCUACGGGAAGCAGCAGUGGGGAAUAUUGCACAAUGGGGGAAACCCUGAUGCAGCGACGCCGCGUGAGCGAUGAAGUAUUUCGGUAUGUAAAGCUCUAUCAGCAGGGAAGAAAAUGACGGUACCUGACUAAGAAGCACCGGCUAAAUACGUG
rnacentral:rRNA from 1 species